rnacentral:rRNA from 1 species
AUUGAACGCUGGCGGCAGGCCUAACACAUGCAAGUCGAACGAGUGGCGGACGGGUGAGUAAUGUCUGGGAAACUGCCUGAUGGAGGGGGAUAACUAUUGGAAACGGUAGCUAAUACCGCAUACCAUCAGAUGUGCCCAGAUGGGAUUAGCUAGUAGGUGGGGUAACGGCUCACCUAGGCGACGAUCCCUAGCUGGUCUGAGAGGAUGACCAGCCACACUGGAACGGAGACACGGGCCAGACUCCUACGGGAGGCAGGAGUGGGGAAUAUUGCACAAUGGGCGGAAGCCUGAUGCAGCCAUGCCGCGUGUAUGAAAAAAGCCUUCGGGUUGUAAAGUACGUUCAGCGGGGAGGCGGUACCCGCAGAAGAAGCACCGGCUAACUCCGUGCCAGCAGCCGCGGUAAUAC